AUAAAUCUCCCCCUAAGUGAUCAGGUAUGUAUGCUACUGCUACAAUUACCAACCCGGGACUGAUAAAGAAAGCCAACCGCCACUCCAUUCAUCCAGAGGGGUAUAGGACCCCUGUUUUCAUGAUGGAACCCCGAUAUGCAGUUUUCAGCCAGAUUCUAGGUUUGGGUUCUUCUCAGGUAGUCAAACCCUGAACUUACAUCUUGUUGGAACCAUUAGGCACUGGAAGUUUUGGAGAGUCAAAGGUGUGAUCACAUGACCAAAUUAGAGCAAUGAAACACAUGGAUUCAGCUGUGCUGGAAUACAGCAAAUGGCGCUGUAGGACUGGAGAUGCGAUCAUAUCAACGAUGGCAAGUACAGACAACAAGAAGGCUGCUGAAUACUCAUCAACACCAAGGUGCUUUCCAUAAGGAGCAAGAAACACUAUAGGGGCAUA